CUCUCUGGGUGGCGAGUGGCGGACGGGUGAGGAAUACAUCGGAAUCUACUUUUUCGUGGGGGAUAACGUAGGGAAACUUACGCUAAUACCGCAUACGACCUACGGGUGAAAGCAGGGGAUCUUCGGACCUUGCGCGAUUGAAUGAGCCGAUGUCGGAUUAGCUAGUUGGCGGGGUAAAGGCCCACCAAGGCGACGAUCCGUAGCUGGUCUGAGAGGAUGAUCAGCCACACUGGAACUGAGACACGGUCCAGACUCCUACGGGAGGCAGCAGUGGGGAAUAUUGGACAAUGGGCGCAAGCCUGAUCCAGCCAUACCGCGUGGGUGAAGAAGGCCUUCGGGUUGUAAAGCCCUUUUGUUGGGAAAGAAAUCCAGCUGGCUAAUACCCGGGUUGGGAUGACGGUACCCAAAGAAUAAGCACCGGCUAACUUCGUGCCAGCAGCCGCGGUAAUACGAAGGGUGCAAGCGUUACUCGGAUUACUGGGCGUAAAGCGUGCGUAGGUGGUCGUUUAAGUUCGUUGUGAAAGCCCUGGGCUCAACCUGGGAACUGCAGUGGAUACUGGGCGACUAGAGUGUGGUAGAGGUAGCGGAAUUCCUGGUGUACAUGAA
rnacentral:rRNA from 1 species